rnacentral:rRNA from 1 species
GACGAACGCUGGCGGCGUGCCUAAUACAUGCAAGUCGAGCGAAUCUUUUGGGAGCUUGCUCCCAAAAGAUUAGCGGCGGACGGGUGAGUAACACGUGGGCAACCUGCCUAUAAGACUGGGAUAACUUCGGGAAACCGGAGCUAAUACCGGAUACGUUCUUUUCUCGCAUGAGAGAAGAUGGAAAGACGGCAUCUAGCUGUCACUUGUAGAUGGGCCCGCGGCGCAUUAGCUAGUUGGUGGGGUAAUGGCUCACCAAGGCGACGAUGCGUAGCCGACCUGAGAGGGUGAUCGGCCACACUGGGACUGAGACACGGCCCAGACUCCUACGGGAGGCAGCAGUAGGGAAUCUUCCGCAAUGGACGAAAGUCUGACGGAGCAACGCCGCGUGAACGAAGGAGGCCUUCGGGUCGUAAAGUUCUGUUGUUAGGGAAGAACAAGUACCAGAGUAACUGCUGGUACCUUGACGGUACCUAACCAGAAAGCCACGGCUAACUACGUGACAGCCGCCGCUGUAACAC